rnacentral:snoRNA from 1 species
CUGCAGCCAAUUAAGCCGACUGUGCUCUUGUCUCUGGCGGCCCAGUGUGCCAUGGCUGCAAACAGUAGCCUCCUCGGUAGUGUAUGCAGCCUGUUGAUUGUAUGGGUUUCCCUAAGGGACCUUGGAGACAGCC